rnacentral:tRNA from 1 species
UGGCUGAGUGGUAAAGCACUAGACUUCUGAACCAGAGGUCCCAGAUUGGAAUCCUGG